rnacentral:lncRNA from 1 species
GAUCUGUGAUAAUUGUCCACAGGUAGUCUUUGAUCAUAUGUUCUCCUGUCUGGAGGAACUAAUAUGUCCUUCCAACUCUGCCCAGCCUUCAGGUACAAUUUAGGCCCCUACUUUUCUCUUAGGCUUUCUUCAGCCACUGUAACUUUUUUAAGUUUCUCCCUUAUCCAAAGUCCCUUACUACUUAGAACCUCGGAAGUAAAGGGACCUCAGAGAACAUCCAGUCCACGCUGCCCUCUGUUUAAAUGUGUCUACAGUGUACCACACCAAGGAACUCCCACACUCUGAAUGAACAGCCCAGUGAUCAGGAGCUUUGAAUCAAUUCUUGGCACCUAACAGUUUGUGAAGAGUCUGCUAAACUCCCUCUAUCAGAAAUCCCAGAGGACUGAGAACAGGUCAUCCUUGGAGCUGUAUCUGAAUGGAGUCAGGAUCUGGAAGCCCAAGUCUCCUUGUCAAUGUCUGCUUGGUUCCCAAGGACACCUGUAAAUGGAAGAGGGGCAUAGUACACAGAAGACAUUGCUGGCAAGUGUGGUCUCUUUACGAUCAGGUGCCACCCUGAUCCCUCAUUGCCUUUCAGCUGCAUGUCUAAAUCCCCACCCCACCCCUCAUCUAGUUGGCUUUGAUUCCAAGGACCUAGGACUGGAGUAGGGCUUUCACAAAUAAGACAGCAGGAAUGUAAUGCAACCUAAUGAGCAGACUAAGAAAGCAUCUAUACAGAAGAACAGACAUACAAAUACCAAGGCAGAUAAGAGUGACAAAAGACAAAAAAAAAAAAAAAAAAAAGAGAGAGAGAGAGAAAAAGCUGAAGCCGGUCAGAAUUCAUCAGGGGAUGGUGUAUGUCUACCACCUCAGUGGUCCUUUAAAGGUAAACGGGCUUAUUUUUCAUGCACCAGCCUAUGGUCCCUUCACUGGGACACUCUCAACAUCCCCGGCUUUUUAUAACUCUGGCUGGAAAG